rnacentral:rRNA from 1 species
GAUGAACGCUAGCGGCAGGCUUAAUACAUGCAAGUCGAGGGGCAGCAGGGGUAGCAAUACCCGCUGGCGACCGGCAAACGGGGGCGGAACACGUACGCAAUCUACCCAAAACUGAAGAAUAGCCCUCCGAAAGGAGGAUUAAUACAUCGUAAUCUAUUGAAGAGGCAUCACUUUAGUAGUAUAUCUCGGCGGGUUUUGAUGAGCUGGCGGCUGAUUUGGUAGUUGGCAGGGGAAUGGCCUGCCAAGCCUACGAUCAGUAACUGGUGUGAGAGCACGACCAGUCACACGGGCACUGAGACACGGGCCCGACUACUACGGGAGGCAGCAGUAAGGAAUAUUGGUCAAUGGACGCAAGUCUGAACCAGCCAUGCCGCGUGAAGGAUGAAGGUCCUCUGGAUUGUAAACUUCUUUUAUAGGGGAGGAAACCGGAAUUUUCUUGUUCCGUUGACGGUACCCUAGGAAUAAGCACCGGCUAACUCCGUGCCAGCAGCCGCCGUAAAAC